UUGGCUGGGGUGGUUGGUUCUAUUCCUGGUAGUUGUGUGCUAUAGAAAUUGUGUGCUAUAGCUCCAGGAUUCCUAGAUUUAUGACCCGGUGCUUUAAUGCAACGGGUCGCUCCUAAGUGUCCAUUCUCUUUUGCUGCUCUCAGCGCAGCUCCCAUUUACGACACUAGCUGGGCACAUGAAUGCACCAGGGCAGCAGCGCGGGAUUCAGAGUUGUCGUAACUUUUGAUGUCCAAAUAACAGUAUGGCUUAUAAACGGUCACGUGGGUAUGCUGGAGCCUAUCCCAGCUGACGUCAGAGUAUUAAAUAAACCAGUGUUAAACAGACCUGAGCAGGACGCCCUGAAGCAUUUUCCACCGCAUGUGUUUGGGGUGUCAGCGUGUGUUUGGGCGUCACUCCCUACCUAUGUUGGUGUCCUGGCCAAAGAUGAGCGAGGACAUGAGGUUCCCCCACACGGCCGAGGACUGGAAGAUGAAGAAGAAGAUGCCAAAGUACUGGUUGAUGACGUCCGAGCCCUUCUUGCCCUCCUUGGCUGCCUGCACGUUGCCGGAGAUGGUCAGGCUCUGCAGACCUCCAUACGCUGUGAAGAGCGACAGGAAGCCGAGAGAAACCACAAACACGUUCUUGAAGUUGCGGCUGAUCAUGGCUGCCGGACUGAAGGGAAAAAGAGAAGACCAGGAAAGGUUGUCUCAUCAGAGGAGCCUCCCUGCCGCCGAGUCAAGGCUCUUGUGUGAUGAAACACGCUACAAACGUACUUUACA